CAGCACACCUCAUUCUGUAAAGGUUUUGAAUACUCAUAUUGCCUUUAGUGUAUUGAGUCCUAACACCGACUUGAGAGUAAAACAUGACUGACACAACCUCUGCUUUUCUAUCAACCUGGACGGCGAAGGAUAGCGCGGUGCUGCGCUACAAAUUUACGAGCAAGAAGGAGGUAGAUCUACUGUCAACUUAUGUACCCGAGUCUUUCAGGGGCAAAGGUGUUGCAGCUCUUCUGUCAAAGGCUGCCAUGAAUUUUCUGGUGGAAGAAAACCUCAAGGCCCAUAUAUCUUGUUGGUAUAUUAAGAAAUAUGUUGAGGAAACCCCA